rnacentral:rRNA from 1 species
CGAACGGGUGAGUAAUACAUCGGAACGUGCCCUGUUGUGGGGGAUAACUAGUCGAAAGAUUAGCUAAUACCGCAUACGACCUGAGGGUGAAAGCGGGGGACCGUAAGGCCUCGCGCAAUAGGAGCGGCCGAUGUCUGAUUAGCUAGUUGGUGGGGUAAAGGCCCACCAAGGCGACGAUCAGUAGCUGGUCUGAGAGGACGAUCAGCCACACUGGGACUGAGACACGGCCCAG